AAAAAAAAAAGGUAAAGGGUCUUUUUCUCUAGCAGAAGGGAAAAAAAAAAACAAAACCAGAUGAACAUCUUUCUUGGAUCACCUGCUAGAGGCUAAACAAAAUGGGACAGUGACCCCUGAAGGAGCAUAGGAUUAGUAGGAGUCCAUAGACCUUGCUCCCGACCCACCACCUUGAGGGCUUGCUGAGCAACCUCACUUCAGACAUUUUAACUCUUGCAGCCCAUUUCUGCAUCUAUAAAAUGGCUAUGAUACCUGAUAAGCUCUCCUCACAAGGGGCUUAUGAUCAAGAGUGGUGUUUGACUAUAAACCAUACUAAGAGAUACCAUUUAUUGGGUGCUGUGCACUAAAGAUAAUGCUAUGCACCUUUUGUGGAUUUUCACUCUAUGAAGUUGUUACUGUCAUCCCCAUUCAACAGAUGAGGAAACUGAGGUCCAGAGAGCUUAAGUAACUUUCCCAGGUUCUCACGAUUCGUAAAAGCAGAGCUAGAUUUUGAACCCAGAUCACAGACUCCAGAUCUAUCUGAUCCCAAAGCCCAUGCUUUUAACCACCCUGCUCUACACCUUCUAGGCUGAAAACAGUGGGAGGGAAUAGAAGAAUAUUGAGUGUCAGACGUGUCCCUAACCCUGCCUCAGGUGAGAAAACACCCAGAGAAUGGGGGCUCAUGUAGCAGAGAACGGAGAAGCAUCAGCUCCCACAUCACAGAUGCUCAGGCCUGGAGAACUCGCUGUUGCCAAGAUGCUCCAACCUGGCAGCCCAGCCUCAGGCAAAGCCUGGCUGAAUGUUGCCCAUGCUCUGGGUCUUAUCUUGGACUCCAUCUCCCCCAGGAUCCCCUCUGCCAGACUCCCCCAUCAGAGCACCCAUCACGCUGCCUUCUGACUGCCUGGCUCCUUGCUCAUCACUCAAGUGGACCUGAGGUCAGGACCAGAGAUCAGGACUCCAUACAUCUCAUUUUCUUCUGUGUUCCUAGCAGCUAGCUCAGUGCCUGGCACUUAAAAGGUGCCCGGAACUGUUCCUUAAAUAAAUAAAUGAAGGCAAAUAGGUUACUCUGACCC
rnacentral:lncRNA from 1 species